AUGGAGGGAUGGGAACUCCCCAGGGAGCACAGCCACAAGGAGGCCCGGCGGCGCAAGAGGACGGGGAGACCAGGCCUCGGAGGCAGUGGACCCGGCUCCACUACGACAGUCUGCGCGGAGGCCGCUUGCCUCCCGCCUCCCGAGACGCUCCCCACCCCCCACGUCCCAGCCUUUCGUACGACUCGUCGCGGAAAAUGGUCGCACUCCCUCGUCUCUUCAUCUAACCUCAGAGGGAGCCACGUCAGAACCAGCGUCCCUGAAAGGCGCCAUGUUGCCCAUUGGCUGUCUUGCCAUCCCCCCAGCCCCCUCACCUCCCUCCUGCGCGUGCGCAGCACUUGGGCUCCCAGGGCAACGGAGAGCGGAAGUGUUCUGCUCACCCCGAGGGCGGUGCGAAUUGGCGCUGGCUGUUUUACGCCCUCAGACCUCGGGUUCCUGGUCAGGGUUCAUAACAGCCAACAGCUCACCAGCUUCAGAUGCCAGCUGAUCUACCAUGGGCUUCCUUAGUUAGUCUACAGAAGACCCAGUCUGAGACCUCAAGAGGAGAUCUCCAUCCUUGGUCUGAGCAGGACUGAUGGUCAUGUCCCAGGUGAGUUCCUAAUUUACCCCUACUUUGUUUCCAGUUAAUUUGAGGCAGCAAUUAGGAAAUUAUAUGGUAACCUUGAAAAAAUAUCUGUUAGUUCCCUCAGCUCUGGCUGUUUUCUGCUCAACCUGUCAUCCACCUCAGGUUUCUCCAGUCCUUCCUCUUUUCACCAAAAAGGAAAAAAAAAAGGAACAAGAUAGAGAGGAAAAGACAUUUUUGUCUACUUCUUACUCUUGGAACUGUGCUUCAUAUUUUUGCCUUCUCAAAGAAAAUUGCUUAAAUGCAUAAACUUAUCUUGCUUUUUCUAUUCACUUUCAGUUCACUUUUUGCCUUUUCAUUAUGUUUAAAAUUGUGAAAGUGUCUCAUGUUCUAAUAUGCAUAAAAUAAACAGUAUCCAAAAGAUCCCUAUUUCUUCCCC
rnacentral:lncRNA from 1 species